GCGGGCGUAGUUCAGUGGUAGAACGUCAGCUUCCCAAGCUGAAUGUCGUGGGUUCGACUCCCAUCGCCCGCU
rnacentral:tRNA from 1 species